rnacentral:rRNA from 1 species
GACGAACGCUGGCGGCGUGCUUAGCACAUGCAAGUCGAACGGAAAGGCCCUGCUUUUGUGGGGUGCUCGAGUGGCGAACGGGUGAGUAACACGUGAGUAACCUGCCCUUGACUUUGGGAUAACUUCAGGAAACUGGGGCUAAUACCGGAUAGGAGCUCCUGCUGCAUGGUGGGGGUUGGAAAGUUUCGGCGGUUGGGGAUGGACUCGCGGCUUAUCAGCUUGUUGGUGGGGUAGUGGCUUACCAAGGCUUUGACGGGUAGCCGGCCUGAGAGGGUGACCGGCCACAUUGGGACUGAGAUACGGCCCAGACUCCUACGGGAGGCAGCAGUGGGGAAUAUUGCACAAUGGGCGGAAGCCUGAUGCAGUAACGCCGCGUGCGGGAUGACGGCCUUCGGGUUGUAAACCGCUUUCGCCUGUGACGAAGCGUGAGUGACGGUAAUGGGUAAAGAAGCACCGGCUAACUACGUG